UACGGGGGGGGCAAGCGUUGUUCGGAAUUACUGGGCGUAAAGGGCUCGUAGGCGGCCAACUAAGUCGGAUGUGAAAUCCCCAGGCUUAACCUGGGAACUGCAUCCGAUACUGGAUGGCUUGAAUUCGGGAGAGGGAUGCAGAAUUCCAGGUGUAGCGGUGAAAUGCGCAGAUAUCAGGAGGAACACCGGUGGCGAAGGCGGUUCUCUGGGCAUGUCCUGACGCUGGAGGAGCGAAAGUGUGGGGAGCGAACAGG
rnacentral:rRNA from 1 species